rnacentral:rRNA from 1 species
GAUGAACGCUGGCGGCGUGCUUAACACAUGCAAGUCGAACGGAAAGGCCCAAGCUUGCUUGGGUACUCGAGUGGCGAACGGGUGAGUAACACGUGGGUGAUCUGCCCUGCACUUCGGGAUAAGCCUGGGAAACUGGGUCUAAUACUGGAUAGGACCACUUCUUGGAUGGUGUGGUGGAAAGUUUUUUCGGUGUGGGAUGAGCUCGCGGCCUAUCAGCUUGUUGGUGGGGUAAUGGCCUACCAAGGCGUCGACGGGUAGCCGGCCUGAGAGGGUGUACGGCCACAUUGGGGCUGAGAUACGGCCCAGACUCCUACGGGAGGCAGCAGUGGGGAAUAUUGCACAAUGGGCGCAAGCCUGAUGCAGCGACGCCGCGUGGGGGAUGACGGCCUUCGGGUUGUAAACUCCUUUCGCUAGGGACGAAGCGUUUUUGUGACGGUACCUGGAGAAGAAGCACCGGCUAACUACGU